ACACGUAAAACAUGAAAAUUGUAGCCUUUUGAGCUAGCUUUCCAAAUAUAAAUUGUGUAGACUAAAUAGAGUUCUGAACAAAAAGUUAAUUGUAUUUUACUAGACAGUACACAAUAUGCCUACUCAAUUCUUCAUUUUGUUGUUUUAUCAUCUGUUGAUCCCCGAAUACGAUCCCGUCUUAAUUACUUGCGCUUUUACUCCGACUUCAAAACUCUAAAUCACUUGAAUUCAGUCCAUAACAUCUACAUAGCUCGGAAUUGCUUCUACAAGGCAUAAAAUACACAAUUAGUGCAAGACACUAGCAAUUAAAGCUCAAACUGAAUUAAAGUGCAGUAAAUUUGAGUAUAAUAAGUGACUAAUAUACGUAUUUAUAGCCUAUCAUCACCCAUUCUUAUUCCUUGUCAAGAAAGAAACAACUCUAAUUUUUUCUUUUACACGAUUAAAAGCAUUUAUUCAAGAACCAAGACUACAUAUUUCACAAAUCAACACACUCACCAAACUAUCAUAACACAAUAAAUGAGAAUAAAAUUGAGAAAUAAACCUUUUAUUGAUGAACAAAGCUGAAAAUUAGGAAUCAAUCAGGCUAAACAAAGCAACAAUCUUUGAACUGAAACACUGAAAUUACAAACCAGAACCUCAAAUCGACACCGAAAAACAUUAAUUGAAUAAAACCAGCCUCAAAUUUAAGAAGUUCAGUAGCAGACUUUUGAUGUCGUCAAAGCCGCUAAAGAGCUCCACACCCAGUUAGCUCAACUGAAACAAGGAUUUCUCAUGGAAUAAAGCCUCCAGCAGAAUUUAUACAAUGAUCAGUCAUGACUUGUACAACUUUGACGGAACCGUGCACUUCUAAUGUUGUACACUCUUAUAACUUACUUCAGAUUGUUGAUGAUGAAUAAACUGAUUGCAAUUUACCCUCUACGUUAGUCUGUACCAAGUCACUUUGUUCGAUAUUUUGUCAAUGCAAGGUCUGCAACGAAGACUACUUCCACCUUUGUUUGAGAAGUUCGUAUGAGGCAAAGUCCAAUCAUUUCCGUUUAAAGAUAUUGAUUGAUUCUUCAUAGCCUUUUGUCAUACAGCUUCUCCUCAUAAUUCAGCAUACGUUUCCAAAAACGUCUCAAGGUCUUCUUCAGGUAAAAUGACUCGUUUGAUUUUCUUUGUAGGUGUUAGUUGACAAGGGGUGUUCAAGGUUUUUUAGGUGUCUCUUUGUGUAGGAACGGCUGAAGCUCUAUCGUUUCCGGCGAGUUCGACGAUGAUGGAAGUGAGGCAGAAAAGGAGAGAGAGGUCUUUUUCGUGAGAAAAAUGAGAAGGGUUCCUUUUUCGAUGUCCUCGGUUUUGUGUUUAGACUAGAAGUUCUUUGCUUAAGAUCACCCUUGAAAUUUGAGAACAAACUUCAAAGAAGCAGAAGUUGGGUUUAAACAAAAAUGGGAAGCACUCUAUUUUGGUCCUAUCUGUUUCAAGAAGGCAGCCACACUCUUUUCUCUUUUUGAGAAGAAGAAGGAAUCUAAACGUAGGGGUGGGGGAACGUUGAGAUGUGCCAUUGCUGCUGUCUCUUUUUUUGUUUAAAAGGCGAGUCCUCCGGAAAGUGUGUGAUGGCAAGAGAAUAAAUUUGAGUGUGGGGACCAUCCCAAAGUUUGUUAUUGAAGAAGACAAAUUCGAAAGUUAUUUACAAAUAAAUAUUUUUUUUUAUUUUUAAAUAAGAAAAUAAAAGUAAAUUUCAAAAGGGUACCCACGUUAGCUUGUUCUGAAGCUUAUCGAAGAGGCUAUCUCAUUUAAUUUUAACAUUUGGCUUGCUUUUUUUUUUUCCUCUUCUUUGUCUUCUUUUUGUUUUGUGUGGUUCUAGCCUGUGUAGUUUUCCGGUCUUUCUUAUUUGAUCGUAUUAGGAAGUGGCUGUAUGAUGACUCCCAUUUGUAUGUCUAUAAGGACAAGGUUCGCUGUGGUAACGCCAGAGAUGUGACCAUUGGAGAUGACGUGGUAUUGAAGAUGCAGGGCUAUGUUUGUGUACCCAAUGUUGAUGGGCUAUGGGAGUUGAUUUUAGCAGAGGCCCAUAGUUUGCGGUAUUCCAUUCAUCCGGGUACAGUGAAGAUGUAUCAAGACUUGAGGCAACAUUUAUUCAAGUUUAUUCAGAGUCGCUACUUGGGAUAAGUUUGUUUCUGGUAUCCCAAGUCACCAGUUUAUUUCAAAUCCGAAAUCGAGGAAAAUUCGAUUUUCCUUGUGAAGUUUGCGAACCAGAAAUUCUGAAUAAGGAAUUUUGUUAACCCGGGGAAGGUGUUAGGCAACCCCGGAUUUUGUGGUUCUAGCAUGGUCAUUUAAACUGUCAUAAUUGGCUUAUUAUCUAAUUUUAACACAUGUUUUAGCCUAAGGUACAAUUUUAACUUAUUAGGCCGAUUUUAAUUAUUUUUUAUGGAAAAGUUCAACGUCAUCUAAAAUAUGUCGUUGGACCACGCCACAUGAAAUGCACCUGUGGUCUGCGACAUAUUUUAUUUAACAUUAUUGAGAUUUUGAUUUGGGUCACAUGAAAUGCACACCUGAUGUUUAGGAAAAUGAAUUUUUAUAAUAACGUGUUUAAAGCAACUACACACUUUCAACUUUGCGAGGGCCAUGGAAAAUUCAACUAAUAACACAUCUCAAUUUCUAAAGAGUUAAAAUAAUUAAAUGAGGCCCAUGAAUUUUGGGAUUUUAUUUGACAUAGCACGCCUUAAAUUAUUCUAAAGGGUAAGCUAUUCGAUGAUAUAAAUAUAAUGAGACCAAUUUAUAUUACUAGUUCAAGACUAAUGUCAAUUCCAAUUCAACUACUAUUAAAUAAAUGAGAACUGAUCUGCUUAUACUUCUAUUGGCGUAUUACAUGACUUCAAUCUCAACUAAAGAAUUAGAAAUGAUUGUGCGACAAUUAGGACAAAGUAUUCAACCAGAAAGCAAAGUGAGCACCCAAAUUCAACGAUUCGGCUAUUUGACCGUACUAAAACAUGAGAUAAACAACUUUUAACAAUUUCAAGAAUGGCAUCUUGAUAUAGCAACUACUGGAACCGUUGAUGCAGUUAAGACCAUUUUGUAUUUGCAAGUCGUUCAUAACAGAAAUGUUCUUCCAGAGAGGUAAAUCACAUUAAUUACUAGCAAAGAAAUGUCUAAUGAAUUUACAAUCAUCAGAGGCAGGAGACAUAAGGAUGUAUGAAAUUUCAGUUUAACAUGCUUGCUAACCCAUUUAAGGACAUAUAUCAAUUGAUAACAUUGGAGGUACAUUUAAAUCUUUGAAUCACAGACAAACCAAACAUAUCCAAAUUACAUUUAAAUGAGCAGUUCUGUCAGAAAAUACUUACAAAAUAAGAAUGAACAAUUGCAAAAACAAUUACUUAAGAUUUCAAACAUUUCAUCAAGUAAUGAUACAAGUUUAAGGAUAUAUACCUAGAUAGCUUAUAAUCGAACUUGAAAUAACCAAAUAAGGGAAGAAGCGGAUGAAUCAGCAGAGCAAGAACAACAACGACAGCAUCAAACAACCUUCUACAACUCAAGUGUCCUUUAGAAAUACCAGAAUAUGUAUAGUAAGUGAUGGAGAAUGAAAUAGUUUUGAGAUUCUUUUUUUUUGUGUGGUAGUUUUGUCUUUGUUCUUGAAGCUUUUUGGUUUUUUCAGAUCUGAUUUCAUUUUUUUUAACAGGGUUUUCAACUGAGUGAAAAGGUGAAUUUUUAGAUCAUGAGGUGAGUGAUUUUGGGCAAUUUUGGUUAAAGGGGGGAUCUGAUUCGUCUUUGCUCUCUGGUAGAAGUGAGGAAGAAGAGUGAGCUCUUUUGGAGAUGAUGAAGGAAAGCUGUGCUCCGUUCCUCAGGAUUUCUAAGGGUUGAGGUCUUAUGUUAUUCUAUGGGUCUAGAUAUUUUUAUAGGUCUAAAUCUAG
rnacentral:lncRNA from 1 species